rnacentral:rRNA from 1 species
GUCUCAGUUCGGAUUGUAGUCUGCAACUCGACUACGUGAAGCUGGAAUCGCUAGUAAUCGCGAAUCAGAAUGUCGCGGUGAAUACGUUCCCGGGUCUUGUACACACCGCCCGUCACACCAUGGGAGUCAGUAACGCCCGAAGCCGGUGACCCAACCAAUUCAGGAGGGAGCCGUCGAAGGUGGGACCGAUAACUGGGGUGAAGUCGUAACAAGGUACC